GUGCUUGCUUCAGUAGCACAUAUUCUAAAGUUGGAGUGAUACAGAGAUUAGUAUGGGCCCUGAGCGAGGAUGACAUGCAAAUUCAUGAAGCAUUCCAUAUUUUU